rnacentral:ncRNA from 1 species
AAAUUGGCGAGGAUGGGAAGAGUAUGCCCUUUUGUCCCGGUCAGAGAGCCCCGGUUGGUGGGAUGGGGUGCGGAACGGGGGCGGAAGAUGGCCCCGGAGCUGCCCGGUUGAAGAGAUGUAGACCGGGCCGGAUGCGCCCGUUAUUGCGCAGAGGGUACGGUUGUACCCCCAAAGGCGUCUGCCGUGAGGCCGGCGCGAACCAAGGUGGUACCGCGGGAUUCCCGCCCUUGAG